UACGGGGGGGGCAAGCGUUGUUCGGAAUUACUGGGCGUAAAGGGCUCGUAGGCGGCCAACUAAGUCAGACGUGAAAUCCCCAGGCUCAACCUGGGAACUGCGUCUGAUACUGGAUGGCUUGAAUCCGGGAGAGGGAUGCAGAAUUCCAGGUGUAGCGGUGAAAUGCGUAGAUAUCGAGAGGAACACCUGCGGCGAAGGCGGGUUGCUGGGCCGACACUGACGCUGAUGCGCGAAAGCCAGGGGAGCGAACGGG
rnacentral:rRNA from 1 species